AGUGAACGCUGGCGGUAGGCCUAACACAUGCAAGUCGAACGGCAGCACAGGAGAGCUUGCUCUCUGGGUGGCGAGUGGCGGACGGGUGAGGAAUACAUCGGAAUCUACUUUUUCGUGGGGGAUAACGUAGGGAAACUUACGCUAAUACCGCAUACGACCUACGGGUGAAAGCAGGGGACCUUCGGGCCUUGCGCGAUUGAAUGAGCCGAUGUCGGAUUAGCUAGUUGGCGGGGUAAAGGCCCACCAAGGCGACGAUCCGUAGCUGGUCUGAGAGGAUGAUCAGCCACACUGGAACUGAGACACGGUCCAGACUCCUACGGGAGGCAGCAGUGGGGGAUAUUGGUCAAUGGGCGCAAGCCUGAUCCAGCCAUACCGCGUGGGUGAAGAAGGCCUUCGGGUUGUAAAGCCCUUUUGUUGGGAAAGAAAUCCAGCUGGCUAAUACCCGGUUGGGAUGACGGUACCCAAAGAAUAAGCACCGGCUAACUUCGUGCCAGCAGCCGCUGUAA
rnacentral:rRNA from 1 species